CUAAAUAAUGACACAGUUCCCCCUCAACACAUAAGCCCUAAUCGCCUUCUUCUCCUGUAUACGAUCUUUUCCAAAUUGAUCUACUGUUACCAGCAUCAACUGAUGCUUCUUCAGUCAUUCGUCAUCGACCAUCGUAUCUUCAACAGUUUUGGCAUUUACAAACUCGGUUCUUUUCAAUUACGAUAUUAGGUAAUGAGUGGAGAGGUGUUAUUCAUAUGUGGUUAAAUUAUGUCUCUGGCUCAGGUUUCUCUCAAACGUUGGCAUUUAUGUAAGGUCUAAAUAGUCGAUUCAGACUAUCGGAUGGCUAUUGACCGUGCUCACAAAACAUUGAUGGAUUGGGUCAAGGAUAAUAAUACUAAUGUGAUUUGUUAUUGUUUACAUCGGUUAUACCAACCAGGGCCGUCUCCGAAAAUCACAAAAAAAAUUUUGGCCCUGUUCGAGAUAAAAAAUUUGGGCCCUAUUCGCAAAUCUUCAUAUAACAUAAACUCAUUAAUCAUUCAAUCAUAUAUAUAUAAAUACUAAAAAUUCAUAAUACUACGAUAAUUGUUAUGAAAUAGAUAAAACAAAUUAACAAAAAUAGUGUAGCAAAAAUGAUCAAAGUAUCGAACUUACUUGCUAAGCAAACAGUGUGGUUCUCCUAGCGUUUUUUGAAGCAAAGCUCUCGAUCAACUCCUUGUAAUCCAUAGUAUCUAAUAUUUCACUUUCAAUAGAUAUUGUCGCCAACCCGUUUAGCCUUUCUUGUGACAUUGUAGAACAUAAAUAGGUCUUCAACAACUUCAACUUUGAGAAACUUCUUUCUGCCGAUGCCACGGUUACCGGAAUUGUCAACAACACUUUAUAUGCAUUUAUAGUAACUUUAACAAUUGAUGAAUUACACUUCUUGCCAUCUCUUUUAGAUUGUGUUACUUUAUUUUUUUUAUUUUUUUUGUGCUACAGGUUUACCAAACUCAUUGUUAUCUUCUCACAA